AAGUCGUAACAAGGUCUCCGUAGGUGAACCUGCGGAGGGAUCAUUACUGAGUUUUUAACUCCAAACCCAUGUGAACUUACCACUGUUGCCUCGGCGGCAGCGCCUUCUGUAUCUCGGUACAGUUGGUUAGCCGCCGGUGGACAUCUAAACUCUUUAAUAACCAGAAAUUCUGAAUUUUAAAACUUAAUAAGUUAAAACUUUCAACAACGGAUCUCUUGGUUCUG
rnacentral:misc_RNA from 1 species